CCCGGCGAGUAGCGGACUGCGAUGCGGCGAGGUGGAAACCGGCACAGCUAAAAUCUGAGACCUCGGGGAACUGUAAUUUUGAUGGAACUAUUAUUCCCUGAGAGAGCCCAAAGUCCACCGGAAUACGGCGCCAUAGAGGGUGAUAGCCCCGUGUGGACCUCUCUCAGCAUACUUUUUAGGCCCAAAGAGUCGAGUUGUUUGGGAACGCAGCUCUAAGUGGGUGGUAAAUUCCAUCUAAAGCUAAAUAUCGGCGAGAGACCGAUAGCGAACAAGUACAGUGAUGGAAAGAUGAAAAGCACUUUGAAAAGAGAGUGAAAAAGUACGUGAAAUUGUUGAAAGGGAAGGGCUUGCAAGCAGACACAACCUCGGUUGGGCCAGCAUCGGGGCGGGGGGAAACAAAAAAGGUGUGGAAUGUGGCUCUUACGAGUGUUAUAGCCCCACCCAAUAUUUCCAUCCCAUCCCGAGGCCUGCGAUUCUUCAAGGAUGCUGGCGUAAUGGUUGCAAGUCGCCCGUCUCGAAAACUAACACAAGGUC
rnacentral:rRNA from 1 species